rnacentral:lncRNA from 1 species
UGCACUAUAUUAAUCAUAUUUUUUUUAAAAAAAAAUACAAUAAAAUUAUUUUUUUAUUAAUUAUAAUGUGACAGGACAAUCUAAGAGGAAAAUUCUAUUAGUUAGAAACACACAUCAGCGAUAUAACCAGUACAUUCUAAUUUUUUUUUUCUUAUUCCAUCACCAUGGAUCCAGGAUUAGGGCUGGCAAACGAGCGAGCCGGCUCGCGUUCGACUCGUGUUCGGCUCGAUAUUCGGCUCGCUCGAGCUCGACUCGAAAUUAAAUGAGCCGAGCUUGAACAAAAUAAAAGGCUCGAAAUUCAUUUCAAGCCGAGUUUGAGUAUUACUCGGCUCGUUCGAAUUAGGCUCGAAAAGCUCAAAAAGCUCGAAAAUAUAUAUAUAUAGGCUGGGGCUACUAUACUCUUAUGAGUAUAGACCCCCUUGUACUCAUAAAUUUUUAACCGUUGAUUGAUAGGAUGCGUGGUUAGGAUGAUGGUGGUUGACACUUAGAAUGAUAGUGGUCCCCUAAGGUUGAGUGGGUAGUUGGUUAAAUAGUAUAAUCUAACGGAUAAAAAUGAUUAAUGAAAUAAAUUUAAGGGUCGAAAACUUAUGAGUAUAAAGGAGCCAAUACUCAUAAAAGUAUAGUAGCCGAACUCUCUCUCUCUCUCUCUCUCUCUAUAUAUAUAUAUAUAUGUAUAAUAUAUAUAAUAUUUAUAAAUAUAAUGUAUUUUAAUUAUACGCUUUAAUUUAAUUUGGGCCAUUAUUGUUGGCCCAUAAAAUAAACCCAACAAGUAUAAACGUGCAAUUGAGCCUAACUCUAAAUUUACAUAACAUACUCUCUCUUUCAGACUUUCAUUGUUGCACAUAACCCUAAAAUAAUAAUAUUCAAAUUUUCAAAUCUCUACUUUUUUUUUCCUCUCUCUCUCUCUCUCUCUCUCUCUCUCUCUCUCAAACCCUCAUCCAGUCAGGAAGUCACCCUAGCUCACAUUUCUUAUAAUUAUUUUGUAUUUUGAACUAUUGGACAUGUUGCAUCAAAUUGUAGGUAAUGUUCUAUAAAAAUUAAACUACUGAUUAUAUAAUGUCGAGAAUUUCAAUCGGCUUGUUUAGAGCUCGAGCUCGGCUCGACUCGAAAUUAGGCUCGCUCGAGCUCGGCUCGAAUUAAUUUCAAGCCGAGCUUGAGCCUAGAUUUAGGCUCGAAAUUAAUUUCAAGCCGAAUUUGAGCUGACAUAAGCUCGCUCGAGCUCGGCUCGUUUCCACCCCUA